GAAGCUUGCUUCUCUGAUGUUAGCGGCGGACGGGUGAGUAACACGUGGAUAACCUACCUAUAAGACUGGGAUAACUUCGGGAAACCGGAGCUAAUACCGGAUAAUAUUUUGAACCGCAUGGUUCAAAAGUGAAAGACGGUCUUGCUGUCACUUAUAGAUGGAUCCGCGCUGCAUUAGCUAGUUGGUAAGGUAACGGCUUACCAAGGCAACGAUGCAUAGCCGACCUGAGAGGGUGAUCGGCCACACUGGAACUGAGACACGGUCCAGACUCCUACGGGAGGCAGCAGUAGGGAAUCUUCCGCAAUGGGCGAAAGCCUGACGGAGCAACGCCGCGUGAGUGAUGAAGGUCUUCGGAUCGUAAAACUCUGUUAUUAGGGAAGAACAUAUGUGUAAGUAACUGUGCACAUCUUGACGGUACCUAAUCAGAAAGCCACGGCUAACUACGUGCCAGCAGCCGCGGUAAUACGUAGGUGGCAAGCGUUAUCCGGAAUUAUUGGGCGUAAAGCGCGCGUAGGCGGUUUUUUAAGUCUGAUGUGAAAGCCCACGGCUCAACCGUGGAGGGUCAUUGGAAACUGGAAAACUUGAGUGCAGAAGAGGAAAGUGGAAUUCCAUGUGUAGCGGUGAAAUGCGCAGAGAUAUGGAGGAACACCAGUGGCGAAGGCGACUUUCUGGUCUGUAACUGACGCUGAUGUGCGAAAGCGUGGGGAUCAAACAGGAUUAGAUACCCUGGUAGUCCACGCCGUAAACGAUGAGUGCUAAGUGUUAGGGGGUUUCCGCCCCUUAGUGCUGCAGCUAACGCAUUAAGCACUCCGCCUGGGGAGUACGACCGCAAGGUUGAAACUCAAAGGAAUUGACGGGGACCCGCACAAGCGGUGGAGCAUGUGGUUUAAUUCGAAGCAACGCGAAGAACCUUACCAAAUCUUGACAUCCUUUGACAACUCUAGAGAUAGAGCCUUCC
rnacentral:rRNA from 1 species